UGGGCUUUCUUUGUUGGGAAACAUUUUAUUACAGUUUUCAUCGCAUUACUUGUUAUUGGUCUGUUCAGGUUUUUGUUAUUUUAAUUUUUUUGAGAUGGAGUCUGGCUCUGUCGCCAAGGCUGGAGUGCAGUGGUGCAACCUCGGCUCGCUGCAACCUAUGCCUCCCAGGUUCAAGUGAUUUUCCUGCCUCAGCCUCCCGAGUGGCUGACAUUAGAGGCACCCGCCACCACGCCCGGCUAAUUUUUAUAUUUUUUCAGUAGAGAUGGGGUUUCACCAUGUUGGCCAGGCUGGUCUCGAACUCCUGAUCUCAGGCCUUCCAAAGUGCUGGGAUUACAGGCGUAAGCCACCGUGCCCGGCCUGUUCAGGUUUUG
rnacentral:lncRNA from 1 species